AAAAUAUUUGGUAAACAAAAUAUAUGUUUUAAUGUGUACUCUCUCUUUCUAUCUGACUUGAUUAUUGUGAUGCUUCACUAAAUUUGUAAGAUUUCUUUAAUAAUAAUUUAGUUUAGGGAAUUUGUACAAAGUUUAGACAUUCUGGGCAUAUAAUUUUGACAAAAUCUGUAUCUAACUAAUAUUUUUUUAAUAUCAAGAUUAGGGUAAUUACAAAAAAUGUUAAUAUUCAAUAUUUUGAGCAAACAAAUGGGAAUGGAAGCGAAUCGGGUAUUUUCAAGUACCCGCCUCGAUUGAACCAUUUUUGAACAGUUUCAGAUAAUAUAUAUUUA
rnacentral:misc_RNA from 1 species